GGCGCUAUAGUGUAGUGGUCAUCACUCGAGAUUUUGAGGUUUCCUGACUUUCUCGAAACCCAGGUUCGAACCCUGGUAGAGCCU